UGGGGAAUUUUGCACAAUGGGGGAAACCCUGAUGCAGCGACGCCGCGUGAUUUAGAAGGCCUUCGGGUUGUAAAAAUCUUUUCUAUGGGAAGAAAAUGACAGUACCAUAGGAAUAAGGACCGGCUAAUUACGUGCCAGCAGCCGCGGUAAUACGUAAGGUCCGAGCGUUGUCCGGAAUCAUUGGGCGUAAAGGGUACGUAGGCGGGUAAGCAAGUUAGAAGUGAAAUCCUGUAGCUCAACUACAGUAAGCUUUUAAAACUGCUCAUCUUGAGAUAUGGAAGGGAAAGUGGAAUUCCUAGUGUAGCGGUGAAAUGCGCAGAUAUUAGGAGGAAUACCGGUGGCGAAGGGGACUUUCUGGCCAUAAUCGGACGCUGAGGUACGAAAGCGUGGGUAGCAAACAGG
rnacentral:rRNA from 1 species